rnacentral:rRNA from 1 species
UACGAACUGUGCGAACGUUAUUCGGAAUCACUGGGCUUACAGGGUGCGUAGGCGGCUCAACAAGUCAGGUGUGAAAGCCCCCGGCUCAACCGGGGAACUGCGCUUGAAACUGUUAGGCUCGAGUCAGCUAGAGGUACACGGAACUUCCAGUGGAGCGGUGAAAUGUGUUGAUAUUGGAAGGAACACCGGAGGCGAAAGCGGUGUACUGGGGCUGGUCUGACGCUGAGGCACGAAAGCCAGGGGAGCGAACGGG